rnacentral:sRNA from 1 species
UUGACUCACAUGCUCUAUUCAAGGUUGUCUUUAAAGAAAUGAAGGUCAUGGGUCUGUCUGAAGAAUUGCCAACAUUUGAUACCAGCGACAGAGGCUUUCAGAACCCAAUGUACGGAGUCGAACAGCCUCUUUCUGAUCCGACGUCUGUGGACAUAAAACACAAGGCCAAGGACAGUUCCAUCUAGAGUGCAGCCCCAUCUAGUGUUAACUUCUGCAGCGUUAUUUCAUGAGUUGACGUCACACCCACACCCUCCUUAAAUUUUUGUUUAAAACGAAAGAAAGUUAAUUGUUGAUAUUUAUUGUUUGUCGUUACAUGUCUUUGGCCUUGUAGAUAUUACAAAUAGAUGACUUUAAUGCGCA